UGCCUAAGAGAUCACAGCUGGGAAUAUUGAACAGCCCUUAGAUGACGAUGGCAUAUGGUUUGAAUGCAAUGUGCCCUUUCGAGUAAAUAUUCCCUUUCCUAUUAGCAUGAAGAAUCUAUUUGGAUCGCAGUUGUUUGAAGCCAAUAGCA
rnacentral:sRNA from 1 species